rnacentral:lncRNA from 10 species
GGGUAGGGUGCUUGGAGAUGGAGGGAGGGAAGGAGAUGGUGCAGGAACUAAGUAGAGAAGGCUGUGCAAAGAAAGGGCAGCUGGCCUGAGAAGAUGGAGAGCCUGUGGGCUGAGCACAGUGAGAACCCCUUGCCUGCCCAGGAGCUGCACAAGGGAUCCUGAAAUAAAUUUCAUCUUCACACUUGUGUUUAGUUCUGCUCCUUGGCUACCUAGAGAGUAGAAAGUAUGGCAGAGCUGUUUGGCUUUGGUGAUGGUCAGCCCUGGGGAGGAAGAGAAUGAAGAACCAGAAGAAGGUGUUGGCCUCCCACGAGGAAAUUUGGACACAGACAGCUACAGAGGGAAGACCACGUGAGGACACAGGGAGAAGGUGGCCGUCUACAAGCCAAGGAGAGAGACUGCAGGAGAAACCAACCCUGCCAACACCCUGAUCUCGAACUUCCAGCCUCGAGAACUGUCCCCUACGCACAUGCUUGAUAAGC